UUUGGUGAGCGAGGGUCAGGUCUACGUCCCCGAGGUCAAGUUCAAGACUUCUACAGCCUCCGUCAACAAUGUCAAGACGAGGGGACACUGUUCGAGGACCAGGAGUUCCCCGCCGAGGACGCUUCUAUCUUCUUCUCUCGCUCCCCUCCCAAACCUUUCGAGUGGAAGCGCCCGCACGAGAUCAUGGCUUUGAAGGAGAUCACGGAUGAGCCCCAGCUGUUCAUCGACGGAGCAUCCCGCUUUGAUGUUAAACAGGGAGAACUUGGCGACUGUUGGCUCUUGGCUGCUGUGGCCAACUUGACCCUCAACAAGCGACUCUUUUACCAGAUUGUACCAAGUGAUCAAGGAUUUGGAGACAAUUAUGCUGGCAUCUUCCACUUCAGAUUCUGGCAGUACGGGCGCUGGGUUGACGUUGUCAUUGACGACCGUCUGCCCACAUUCUAUGGCCGUCUGGUCUUCAUGCACUCAGAAGAGAAGAAUGAGUUCUGGUCUGCCCUUGUGGAGAAGGCUUAUGCUAAGCUUCAUGGCUCAUAUGAAGCCUUGAAGGGAGGUACCACUUGUGAGGCCAUGGAAGACUUCACAGGAGGCGUGUCCGAGAUCUACGACCUCACUAAGGCACCUCCCAACCUCUUCAACAUCAUGCUCAAGGCCUACCAGCGUGGAUCCCUCAUGGGGUGCUCCAUUGAGCCGGACCCAAAUGUAGUAGAGGCUCGGUGUGACAGCGGUCUCGUCCGUGGCCACGCUUACUCCGUCACGAGGAUCAAGUUCUGCGAGAUCAAUACUCCCAGAGUGACUGGAAAGAUUCCGCUCAUCCGUAUUCGUAAUCCCUGGGGUAACGAGGCAGAGUGGCAAGGAGCCUGGAGUGAUCAGAGCCCUGAGUGGCAGUUUAUUCCUCCAGAAGAGAAGGAAGAGAUUGGUCUGACCUUUGAGCAUGAUGGAGAGUUCUGGAUGUCAUUUAAGGACUUCUUAACCAACUUCACAAUGAUGGAAAUGACCAACUUGAAUCCUGACUCCCUGGAUGAUGAGGACAUAACUGGAUCAGUUCAGCACAAGUGGGAGAUGAGUGUCUUUGAGGGAGCUUGGAUCCGUGGCUCCACGGCUGGUGGCUGCAGAAACUUCCUCGACACGUUCUGGCACAACCCCCAGUACAGGAUCACACUGACGGAGGUGGAUGACGACGAUGACGACAACAAGUGUACAGUAAUUGUCGCCCUCAUGCAGAAGAACCGUCGCUCACAGAGGAAGCUCGGUCUGGAGUGCCUUACCAUCGGCUUUGCUAUUUAUCAUUUGCGUGACCCAGAUGGUGUUCCACGUCCCCUGGACCUGAACUUCUUCAAGUACAGCGCUUCAGUGGCUCGCUCUCCUUCCUUCAUCAACAUGCGUGAGGUGUCGUGCCGUUUCAAGCUUCCCCCUGGCACCUACUGUAUCGUUCCAUCAACCUUUGAAGCUAAUGAGGAUGGAGAGUUCAUCCUUAGGGUGUUCUCUGAGAAGUCAAAUGAAAUGGAGGAAAAUGAUGAAGAUGUUGGUUUUGGUCAAGUUGAUGAAAGGGUGCGGCCAGAUGAAGAUGACGCCCAGGAGGUGGAGGCAGACGAGAGGAUCCGUGGGUUCUUCAGGAAGGUGGCUGGAGAGGACCUGGAAAUUGACUGGAAGGAGUUGCAGGGUGUUCUUGACUUUGCUCUAAAACGAGUGUUCGAGUUCAACUUCGACGGCUUCACCAAGGACGUGUGUCGCAGCAUGAUCGCCAUGAUGGACGUCGACCGUUCGGGAAAACUCGGCCUACAAGAAUUCCUCCAACUGUGGACUGACAUCAGGGUGUGGAAGAAUGCCUUCAAGCUGUACGACAAGGACAACUCCGGCCACCUAUGUUCCUUUGAGCUUCGCCAGGCCCUGAACUCUGCAGGAUAUCGCCUCAACAACCACAUCUGUAACGCCCUCAUGCUCCGCUACGGUGAUAAGGAAGGAAGAAUCUCAUUCGACGAUUUCAUCAUGUGUUCCGUCAAGCUCAAAACUAUGAUGGGCUGUGAAGAUGACCCAGAGAAACUACAGGAACUCUAUGAACAACUAAUGAAUGAACAUGAGAUGAACCAGGAGGGGCAGGAGGAAGAACAAGAACAAGAUGAGGAAUAAGGAAUAAAAAGUACAAGAAAUAUUUACCACCACUAAAAGCCUAAAUGGAUCAUAGAUAUUCCAGGAGAGGGACCCAGACAAGACCUUAAGUGCCACCUUUACACUAGAGGAAUGGGUUGAGAACACGAUGUAUUCUUAAGUACCGGCAAUCUCACGUCACAACAACGACAGUACGGGCGUCCCUCGGUUCACGAAACAACCAUUUAUGGAUGGUUUUCUGGCAUGGAGCCUUUACGUGAAUCAAGAGAUGCCCGCGUCAGUCCAACGCCUCAACAUUUGGACGUUGGCAACAGCUUGCACUGUAAUGGUGGGCCUGAGACUCCCACAUGAGUUACGAGCUGCACACAAUGAUACCACAACUGUUUGCUAAGCAAAUAUGUUAAUUAUAAAUGUAAUUUGUAUUAUUUAUUGUAAAGUUAAGCAGUACAGUAUUCUCCAUGUAUAAGAUAUCACAGGGAAAAUAUAAAAUGAAAUUCAUCCUGGCAUUAGAUGAAGUUGUUAUACUGUAUGUAACAUGCUGUCAGGAUAGCUUUAGCACUCCCUGACUUGGAAAAAAAAUUGUGAAUGGGUAAAGUGAUGACCUCUGUUAGAAUGCGUAAAUAUCUAUUAAAUUCAUCAUCCUAAGUCUCCCAACGUUCCAGAUGUUUUAUUUGUCUUAUAUUAACUUCAGAAUGACAGAAAAAAUCAUAUGAAACAAUAUCAAAUUUUAUUUUAUAUAUUCUAAUGGUACAGUUAUAGCCUCAGUGUGCGUGUAAGUUAGGUGGCCUUAUGGUAAUGUUAAUCACUAAUCCAAGAAACGGGUUAAUGUACAGUAAAGUACUUCCUCAUGCUCCUCUCAACACCUGUACUGAACCAGGAUUCAGCAGAACUCUACCGUCACACUCGCAAGGAGGAGAACUAUAUAGUGACACUUGUACAGUAUCAAGGUCUCUCUUGCCAUUAACAUAAGACUGAGACAACAAGGAGACUGUCCUGUGUCUCAGCUUGAUGACUGAAGUAGUUUUCAGGCUUAAUGCAAAUCUUUCUAUACAGUACAUAAAUUUGUCAGUAUUUUAGAAGACUUAAGCUAAGUAACCACUUAGAUAAUUGAGGUAUUGGUGCAUGUGGCAUGUCAUUUUUAAUAAGUGGUUUCUACCUAUUAUGAUGUUGCUUUAGUAGUCUUGAAUGCUUUGCACUUGAUCAGUCUAGCACACAGAAAUGUACAUAGAAUCAAUACUGACUUAAAGGUGGUUCAGAACACGCUCAUAGUCCAUCCAUUACUUAAAUAUCCAUCGCCAGUUUCAUGGUCUUGGUUUACCUCCCCAAAUUACCUUGGUCUUGAGUAUAUUGGUCUCGAGUACAUUGGUCUUGAGUACAUUGGUCUUGGGUACAUAUGAAACAUCACAAUACGUACUGUGUUUACUUUAUAUAUGAUGGAGUGUCACGAGUAUAAGAAUUUCUCAUGGUGCUAUAAAGUUUUGUUAAAAUUUCCUGAUGGUAAUCGUUUAGAUGUUGUCAACACUUGUUCUACUUAAAACACAAAAGAGUACCAACUUUGUCCCCUUUGUCAAGUUAUAAAUUUCAUCAGGUACCGAAGGCUUAAAAAGAAAGUGUCAGUAAUCGUGUGUUACGGUACGUUGUUUUUCCUAUAGAUCACAACAUCUGAAACUGACUAUAUAUUUUUUUAUUCAAUAUGUACUCUAUCAAAUAAGUUUUAGCUAUACAGUACAUGAUUGUGCCUCUGUAUUUCUGAGAUAUUCAUAGUAUAGUACAGUAUAUACAGUAUAGUGGAACAAACAUUUUUUUAGUACUGUAGUAGAUGACAAAAGAAUGCUGUAUUGAUAUUUUGCCAUUUGUGUUCAUAAUCUCAAUAGAAUGAUUGUGUGGAUGGUGUGUAGCAGACAGCUGUACAGUACGUACUGUAUACACACAUGCAAAACAAAACACUCUGAUAGCAUAUUAUUUCCUUCCUUGAGCAGGUAUGUUACAGGAUGUAUUUCUAGUGGGUAAAUACGAUAUUGUUUUCUAUUUCAUCUGUAUGCUUUGUGACUAUCUCAUUCAACUCAGCAGUUAAAACCGUUGACCAGAGGUUGAACAAAGCUCUUCCCAUAUUCUGUUCUGUGUACUUCUCCUUGAUAAGUUUUAUUUUACAGGUUGAUUGUGGACUUAAUGUGUUUUUCUGUGGAAUUCUUAGAUAAUAUAAAUACUCUGAUAUUCCUGUUGGUGCUUUCUUAUCUCUUUGUACUAUACAUAGCCUUUACACCACAGAACCUGUUUUACCUUAAGAUUAUAUAAUUUAUUGGUCUUAACAAAGUCAAAAUAAAUAUGAUUUCUAUAACUGUGAGUAAACAAAAUACAGAAUUAAAAAAAACUAAA